rnacentral:rRNA from 1 species
GACGAACGCUGGCGGCGUGCUUAACACAUGCAAGUCGAACGGUGAAGCUCCAUCUUGCUGGCGUGGAUCAGUGGCGAACGGGUGUGUAACACGUGAGCAACCUGCCCCUGACUCUGGGAUACACGCUGGAAACGGCGUCUCAUACUGGAUAUGAGAAGGUUCCGCAUGGGCACUUUCUGGAAAGUGUGUCGGUUGGGGAUGGGAUCGCGGCCUAUCAGCUUGUUGGUGAGGUAAUGGCUCAAAAAGGCGACGACGGGUAGCCGGCCUGAGAGGGCGACCGGCCACACUGGGACUGAGACACGGGCCAGACGCCUACGGGAGGCAGCAGUGGGGAAUAUUGCACAAUGGGCGAAAGCCUGAUGCAGCGACGCCGCGUGAGGGAUGACGGCCUUCGGGUUGUAAACCUCUUUCAGCAGGGAAGAAGCGAAAGUGACGGUACCUGCAGAAGAAGCACCGGCUAACUACGUG